rnacentral:rRNA from 1 species
CGACGUAGGAACCUGUCGUUGGGUGGGGGAUAACGCUGGGAAACCGGCGCUAAUACCGCAUGUGGUCCCUGAAGCGAGAGCUUGGGGAAGAAAGCAGCAAUGCGCCCAUUGAGGGGCCUGCGUCCGAUUAGCUUGUUGGUGGGGUAAUGGCUUACCAAGGCGACGAUCGGUAGCUGGUCUGAGAGGAUGGUCAGCCACACUGGGACUGAGACACGGCCCAG